CAGUAGCCGCGGGAAUACGGAGGGUGCAAGCGUUAAUCGGAAUUACUGGGCGUAAAGCGCACGCAGGCGGUCUGACAAGUCAGAUGUGAAAUCCCCGGGCUUAACCUGGGAACUGCAUUUGAAACUGUCAGGCUGGAGUCUUGUAGAGGGGGGUGGAAUUCCAGGUGUAGCGGUGAAAUGCGUAGAGAUCUGGAGGAAUACCGGUGGCGAAGGCGGCCCCCUGGACAAAGACUGACGCUCAGGUGCGAAAGCGUGGGGAGCAAACAGGAUUAGAUACCCCGGUAGUCCCUGUCUCUUAUAA
rnacentral:rRNA from 1 species